rnacentral:rRNA from 1 species
UACGUGGGGGGCAAGCGUUGUUCGGAAUUACUGGGCGUAAAGGGUUCGUAGGCGGCCAACUAAGUCAGACGUGAAAUCCCUCGGCUUAACCGGGGAACUGCGUCUGAUACUGGAUGGCUUGAGGUUGGGAGAGGGAUGCGGAAUUCCAGGUGUAGCGGUGAAAUGCGUAGAGAUCAUGAGGAAGACCAGUGGCGAAGGCGGGUCUCUGGACAGUUACUGACACUGAUGAACGAAAGCCAGGGGAGCAAACGGG